UACGUAGGAGGCGAGCGUUGUCCGGAAUUACUGGGCGUAAAGAGCGCGUAGGUGGCGCGAUACGACCGGUGUGAAAUCCUCCGGCUCAACUGGAGGGGGUCACUGGUAACGGUCGUGCUGAUGAGUGCAGGAGAGGGACGUGGAACUCCGGGAGUAGCGGUGAAAUGCGCAGAGACUGAGGAAGACACCGAGCGGAGCGAGGCCACUCGGCCUGGGACG
rnacentral:rRNA from 1 species